rnacentral:rRNA from 1 species
GACGAACGCUGGCGGCGUGCUUAACACAUGCAAGUCGAACGGAAAGGCCCUGCUUUUGUGGGGUGCUCGAGUGGCGAACGGGUGAGUAACACGUGAGUAACCUGCCCUUGACUUUGGGAUAACUUCAGGAAACUGGGGCUAAUACCGGAUAGGAGCUCCUGCUGCAUGGUGGGGGUUGGAAAGUUUCGGCGGUUGGGGAUGGACUCGAGGCUUAUCAGCUUGUUGGUGGGGUAGUGGCUUACCAAGGCUUUGACGGGUAGGCGGCCUGAGAGGGUGACCGGCCACAUUGGGACUGAGGGACGGCCCAGACUCGUACGGGAGGCAGCAGGGGGGAAUAUUGCACAAUGGGCGGAAGCCUGAUGCAGCAACGCCGCGUGCGGGAUGACGGCCUUCGGGUUGUAAACCGCUUUCGCCUGUGACGAAGCGUGAGUGACGGUAAUGGGUAAGGAAGCACCGGCUAACUACGUG